rnacentral:rRNA from 1 species
GUGGGGAAUAUUGGACAAUGGGCGCAAGCCUGAUCCAGCAAUGCCGCGUGGGUGAAGAAGGUCUUCGGAUCGUAAAGCCCUUUCGACAGGGACGAUGAUGACGGUACCUGUAGAAGAAGCCCCGGCUAACUUCGUGCCAGCAGCCGCGGUAAUACGAAGGGGGCUAGCGUUACUCGGAAUUACUGGGCGUAAAGGGCGCGUAGGCGGCUCUGUUAGUCAGGCGUGAAAUUCCUGGGCUUAACCUGGAGACUGCGCUUGAUACUGCAGGGCUUGAGGCCGAGAGAGGGUGGUGGAAUUCCCAGUGUAGAGGUGAAAUUCGUAGAUAUUGGGAAGAACACCGGUGGCGAAGGCGACCACCUGGCUCGGUUCUGACGCUGAGGCGCGACAGCGUGGGGAGCAAACAGGAUUAGAUACCCGGGUAGUCC